rnacentral:rRNA from 1 species
UACGGAGGUGGCUAGCGUUGUUCGGAAUUACUGGGCGUAAAGGGCGCGUAGGCGGCAUGGCAAGUCAGAUGUGAAAGCCCCGGGCUUAACUUGGGAAUUGCAUCUGAAACUGUUUUGCUUGAGUCCUGGAGGGGGUAGUGGAAUUCCCAGUGUAGCGGUGAAAUGCGUAGAUAUUGGGAGGAACACCGGUGGCGAAGGCGGGACUCUGGGCCGAUACUGACGCUGAGGAGCGAAAGCGUGGGGAGCAAACAGG